rfam:Schistosoma curassoni strain Dakar, Senegal genome assembly, scaffold: SCTD_scaffold0000268
AUCCAACUGUCGAGUCACCAAUAGGAUGAAACGCGCGUCCUGGAU